rnacentral:rRNA from 1 species
UACGUAGGGACCGAGCGUUGUCCGGAUUUACUGGGCGUAAAGAGCGCGUAGGCGGCUCGUUAAGUGUGAAGUGAAAUCUCUAGGGCUCAACCCAGAAACUGCUUUACAUACUGGCGAGCUGGAGUGAUGAAGAGGUUUGUGGAAUUCCUGGUGUAACGGUGAAAUGUGUUGAUAUCAGGAGGAACACCCAUGGCGAAGGCAGCAAACUGGUCAUCAACUGACGCUGAGGCGCGAAAGCGUGGGUAGCAAACAGG